UGUGUGCAAGGCUAUAAAAGCGCAAAGUCUUGCAAGGGGACAAUUGAAGCCUGGUGUACAACCAAACUUAUACUGUAGAUCUACAGGGACAUCAUGAGAGUCACUGCAGCCGUCCUACUGGUCCUCUGUCUCCUGGCCYUCAGUCAUGCAUGGGACUGUCGGGAGGUAGUAAACAUCAAGAAUCUGAUGCAGAUUGAUGCAGGACUGGGGCAAGUGGUUGCUACGGACACAAGUCAAAUCCCCUACUACCUGGUAGGUGAU